rnacentral:rRNA from 1 species
UACAGAGGUCCCGAGCGUUGUUCGGAUUCAUUGGGCGUAAAGGGUGCGCAGGCGGCGGGGUAAGUCUGAUGUGAAAUCCCGGGGCUCAACCCUGGAACUGCAUUGGAUACUGCCCUGCUUGAGAACUGGAGAGGAGACUGGAAUUUACGGUGUAGCAGUGAAAUGCGUAGAGAUCGUAAGGAAGACCAGUGGCGAAGGCGAGUCUCUGGACAGAUUCUGACGCUGAGGCACGAAGGCCAGGGGAGCAAACGGG